CGAGCCCGAAGCAAGGAAGCGAAACGCCUCUGAAUACGCUCUUGUAAUUUUCCACGAUAUAUUUUGCCAGUUGCCGCUUGUUAUCUGCCCGUCUAACAACGCAGCUCGACGUGUAUUCGCCUCUGCCCGAAAGCGACGUUUUUCCACGAAAAUAUUUUGCGAAAAAUGUUUCUCCAAAAAAUUAAUUCACCGAAACUCUCUCCUCCUUUUCAUUGAGCCAAUAAGGGAACGCGUAUUAAAUUCUUUUUAAUACCAAUAUAAUACACGAAACUUGUAAUCUCUUUAUAAAUUAAUUUGACAAUUUACCAACCGCUUCUUCCAGCAUCAUUAAAACUCUGCUACAUCCGUGUCUCGAAAUAUCAAACGAAUCCUCUCUCUGUCUUCGAUCAUGGAAUAUAAUCACGCGAAUUUAUUACUCUUAAUGUAAACACGUUUCUGAUUUCUGUUUAAAAUCAUCAGAAGCUCGGUCACGUGUGAAUGAUAAGACGAUAUCUUGAAGGUAUGUAUAUAUAUAUAUAUAUAUAUUUAUACACGCCUUGAACCGACGCGUUUCAAAGUUUCGACGUUUGAGUUGGGGAUUAAUUUGCAUAGCUGAUCAACACCGAAAAACGUGGUAAAUAUUUGACCGCCGUGUGUUUCCUCCCUGAAUAUCCGAAUAUCUCGACGAGUCGGAAGCGGAUGACGCCGUGUUGCAUCGAUGAAUCGCAGGCGCAACGGUGAAAUCCUCUUUUACCCUGCGCUUCCAAAGUAACGUUAAAACGUGAAUUUCGACGAUUAUGUAUGCAGAGAGGUAUAAAUCCACGUCUGGGACUGGAUUAAAGGCUGCUCCACGAUACUUUUGAUGUUCGAUUGCCUACCUUGAUAAGGCAUAAGGAGGCGCCUGUUUGCACGAUACACAUAGAUAUACACACGCGCACGUAGGUAUACGUACACGUGGCUGGUUUAUAGUGUUUACAUUGAUUUCCAUCGACGACAGAACCAUGACAAAUAUUGUUAAAACGAGCCGGGCCAAGGAAAUGCGAAAUACCGAGGGAGAACCGAGCGAGUAUAUUUUCACGAGCUGAGCAAACGUUAUCUCGCCCGGUAUGAUAAACUAUCGCGUCAUUUGUUUGAAUGUUUUAAUAAGAAUUAAGACGAGCUUUUGAUGGUUUAUAUUUUGAAUAUAACGAAUUGGAUAUGAUGUUAUCUCGGAAGCGAAAUUGAUCACAUUGAUCAGUCGUGAAGGAUUAAAUAAUAUCAGUUAUGCAUUUUAGGUAUUAAGUUCAAAGAUUGGAAGAGAAUGGAAUUCUUUGAGUCGAUCUGACUUCUUUUGAGAGUUUGGCUUUGCGUUAUAUCGUAGAGACAGAACUUUCGCUGUACAUAGAAAAGUAUUGAAUCAUUAAAAACAUAUAUUCGUAUUGUAUACUUAAAAAUAUUGGAACAGACAGUUCAAUUAAGAAAGGUGAUUUUGCAUAAAAAAGCAAGGGGAGGAUACACAAUAGAAUUUUCUGACGCAAGAUUUCAUAUUCGAGAUUUAAUAAUUCAUAGAUUUAAUAAUUCACCGAGCUCGUAUGCGCAUAGUAAACAAAGAAGCUGUAGAACCAGGUUGUCGAUACCGUUCAAAUUAUUCUAAUACCGCAAUAAAGUGUAUCAUAUGAAAA